UUGGAUUAGGGUUGGCCCAAGUUUUAUUGGGUUUGAAAUUGUAUUUAGUUUGGGCCCCGGGCAAUAAUUGGGUAUUACAGCUGCCCCUUUUUGCUCGUUGUCAUGUAAUGAGAACAUAGCAAAAACUCUAAAAAUAACCAAUUUUGCCUGGUCAUGCUGGACUUUGGAGCGCUUCUUACUCAAUGUAGCCACAUUCCAACCUAUUGCAUUUUCAGAGGUAUAGGAACUAAUGCUUCGAUCGACUCUACUGCAACGUCAGGGAAAUAGGAUUUGUACCUUGCAGCUUCUCAAAAG
rnacentral:lncRNA from 1 species